CGUGCCUGUGAGCACAUCUAUAGGACUCUUUCUUUCUGAACCUUUCUGUUUUCAUAUCUGCGUAUGUUAUUAUUGUUGUUCAUUUACUGCUGCUUCCGUAUUUCAUCUUCCUUACUUUUAAUGUCUGAGCUUGUUGCAUUGCCCACAAGAAUAUUUUAUUGCUCAGAUGUUGAUCUUUUACAUCUCGGGAGCAAGGUCAGAAAUGAACCAUUUCUGGGCAAAACCGCCACUAAAAGUGACAAAAAUGGUCCGGAUAUGGGUCAAAAAUGUCCCUGUAAUUAAUUCCCUUUUAUUUAUCUGUCAUAUAUCAUUUGAUAUAUUCCAGUUUUCAGUUUCAAGUAGUAUUCUAAGCCUAUCUAGUUGUGGUAAAGUGCAAAUUUACAGCAAAUAUAAGUGCUUUUAAAACCAGUUUGACAUUAGACUAAAAUACAGUGUAUUUAUUAUUAUUAUUAUGGUAGCACUUUAUUUUACAGUCCUGUUACCCAUGUACAUACUAUGUACUUAUUAUAGUGACUACAAUAACUGGGUAAUAACUAGGUACUAACCCUGAACCUAUCCCUAAACCUAACCUUAACCCAUGCAGUUACCUUAUAUUACCCAGUAUUUUCUUAGGUAUCUGUCAACUUAGGUCAUGUAGAGAAGAGCUACUUCUGAGAUUGGUCCUUACUCCCUAUGUAGUGUACUCUGUGGUAUUUAUUGAAUAGUGAUUGAUUGAACAAGCGAGCAAUUUGGGUCAGCAGUGGUGUCAGUGUGUGGUUCCAGCGGGAAAAUGUUGCCCCUUAUUCCGAGGUUAAUUUCCGAAUAUGCUCAGGAGAGUUUACCUCUGAUGUUUCUCCUAAAAUUACAUCAGAGAAAUUAAAAUGCUCAUAUGAGACAAUUGUCGUUAUACAGUAUAGAGCUAGCAAAUUAACAGGGAUGGAAUAGCCCAGAUAAUUUGGUAUUGAGAAAAGUUUGAUUUCAUUCUGAGUUUGAUUGCAGACUUUUAUAUCUUGGAAAAUCAGAGAAUAGUUUGAGACAUUGUUGAGUUUCCUCAACAAUGAGGAAACUACUGUCUCAAAUGUCUCAAACUCCUCUGAAACUCUGAAGGAGACAGAUAAGAUAAGCAUGCUAGGGUGUUCUUCUCAUGAGAAAAAGUAUGAGAUAAGCAAAAGUCAUUUAAUCUCAUUGAUAUCUAGGAAAAACAAUUAAGAUAUUAAAAAGUUACCUCUUUCAGUCUGAUUCUCUCUUUGGAGCUUUGCCAGGUCUGGAGUAAAACCAACCACAAACCACCCUGGAUCAAUGAUUAAAGUUCCAGGAAGAAAAGCUAGAUCGAACACUGCCUAGCUUGACUGAAAGACUAAAUAUGCAUGAUAAAUGAAGUAAUGGACACUUGUGAGUCCUGUAGUAUCCCAGCUGCGCUCAUUCAGGAUAUCAAAUAUAUUAUGUGCAUAAUUUAUGAUGCCAUUUUAAUCUCUGUAGUAAUGCAUCUAAACAGUUUUGUUUUCCACAGUGGCUAUUUGAGGCUUGUAAACACUUGGUUGGCUGUUUGUUCAGAUCUUUCCUCUUUGACACUAUUUAUAUCCUGGCCCCCAAAAUAUUAAUUUAGAUUACAUUCAUAAAUGUUAUUGUAUUGUAUGUUAACUUUUAUGAUUAGUAAGACCCUUUUUUAAAGCAUAUCACAAGCUACAUACUAGAUAUUCUUAGCUUAAGAAAAUGCCGAGCUAAGCAUUCUGUAGUCUCAGCUUUACACAACACACCCUAGACCGCAGUCUUUUUAUUGACCGUCUCAUGCAUUUUGCACACAACAUGGCAAAAGCUAGCUGAAAUCAUUAGCUCUGAUUGGCUGAACGCUACGCAAAUUCUGUCCUGAGUCAGGGUGCACAUUGUGUUUUAAACAUACUUCAAAGUUUGUGCCAUCAAAUCUUUGAGAGAUAGAUGCAUAAAGCACUAAGUAUAUCCAUGAGCAAAACUGUAUAUUGUGUAUUGUUUUGAGUGAAAUAUAUUAAGUAGCCUACUUAAUACAUUAGUGUAGAUGGAUUUUUAAUUAGCUACCAUUUUAUAAAAAAAGAUGUUUGUUGUUGUGGUAUCGUUAAUUUUGUGGUUGGUUGCUUUACAAGUCAUCCACAUGUCUUCUUAUCUGAAUUGUUGGUUCUUGUCUAGAAUAUCAUCUGCAAAGUGGAGCAGAGUUUAUUCUGAUAAAAAUCCUGGCUCUGUGAGUCUAAGCAAUCUGAAAUGCGCUAUCCCAUAGAUUAUUUGAUUAUUUGAGUCUUAUCUCCUCAGAAUUGUAACAAUUGCAUUAAACGAGCCAGCAGUGCAGCUGUUAAAAUGGAAAGCUUAAUACAUGGGGAAGUGGUCUGGGGCCCUUGUGGUCAGAGUUUUAUGGACUGUGACACUUGACUAGUCAAUUGCUUUGGUCGUUCAAGGCAUAUGUGGCUUAGACUUGUGGUCUAAAAGGGCAACAACAUAUCAGUUAUGACUCACCUGCCAAAGUAGUAAGGUAUACAUCAGCCUCAAAUUGUAUUUAUUAUUUGUAUUAAGUCCAGAUCCGGCCCACAUCUGGUACAAGGUGCCCACAUUUUUGACUUCAUUUUGACCAGUAUAUAUAUAUAUAUAUAUAUAUAUAUAUAUAUAUAUACAUAUAUACAUACUUUUUUUCAUUUAAAACCUGACAAAUUAAUUGUAGUGAAAUGUUUUGCUUGAAAAGUGUGCUUGUGCUAUGUUUCUUUAAAUGGGAAGUUUUAUGCAAAAUUCACUUUUAUAAGGUGUUUGAACUCAGGUGUGUGUCCACAGUGUCUGUAAUGGUAAAAAUCCACCCACACCUUUUUUUUUUUUUUUUUACAAUCCCCAUAAAUCAUAAACAGUCUCUCCAAAUGAGCAGUUCCAGAUAAGCCCCGCCUAUGACUGGUGACUGAAUCUGUCCUAUUAUCUUAGCUCCUCCCCUCAGUGUGCUGUACACAGUCCGCCAUGUUUAUAUCCUCACCAGAGCAUUUAACAGCAGAAUUCAAGUAAAAAUUAUAUUCUUAUUGAAGCUACUAAAGUUAUUUAAUCAAGAGCAGUGAUUUUCUGCUUUUCUUUUGUUGUUUGGUUCAUAUUAACAGCAUAUCCAGCAGUAGAUCCUGUAUAUUAUGCUGCUGUCACUUUAAUACACAGAACUAAUAUACACGUAAUUUCUUUCCCUGCUGUUUACGUUCACAGACAUACAUAACCGACUGUGAACUUUGUGUGUUUUUGACAUAACCUUGUAUGUAUUUGACAGUUUAAGAUGUGUAAGAGAAAUCAGUUUAAUACUCACAGGACAGCUUUCUGUGUGCGUGGUUAUGUUGGUUAUGGCUUUAAAACGCAUGCAGAUAAUUAAUUUUCAUGAUGGCGAAGAACUGCAAAGUCACGUGAGCGUGGCCGCGAUAGAGAUGAUAAUGAUAGUUUUUGGCAAAGUAUCCGAGGCACGAGUUGCAGGCUCCGCCCUCUUCAGGAAAGCGGGGUGGGGAGCUGCAGCUAAUUUGCAUUUAAAGACACAUGCACAAAAACAGCAUGGUUUUCCUUCCACUCAAAAAUGGGCAUUUACAACAUGGUGUAAUAAAUUAUGUGUGGGGUAUCUUGAGCUAAAACUUCACAGACACAUUCUGGGGACACCUGAGACUUAUAUUACAUCUUGUAAAAAGGGGCAUAAUAGUCCCCUUUAAAAUAAAUACCUCUUGCUUUAAUAUUUUAUAUCUAAUGGAAUGAAAAAUCACCAAAAACUCAUUGCAGCAAAUAGGAUAUUAUGAAGGCCACAGUAAUCCAAAAUGGCAAAAUGGAAAGAGUUAGGCACUAAAAAAGGUCAUGCUGUUCCCAUUUGUUUUGGAGUUUUCCCGUUUUCCCGUUUCCCGUCCCGUUUGGAGUUUUCCCGUUUUUGACAUCCAGCUAUUUCUCACCUACCACUGCAUAUUUAACAUACUGCUAUUUGCAUAUAGUAGGUAAGAGUGUGGGUUGGUUUAUAAUAAUAUCUGGAAAAGAUCAAUUUCGUAUAUUUUAUAUUUUUAAUACAUUUUAGUGUUGAUGACUGUGACUGUGAAUCGUUAGGUCUGAUUGGGAACAUUUUGGAUGAACAGUGCCGUUGCUCGAUGCAGAUGUGACCAAAAAGAGACAGCAGCUGUUUCACAGACAUCUGAUCUAAACAGAGAUGUUUACACACACGCACACACACACACACGGAUAUGUGACUGACAGAAUGUCGCCCUGUGUGGGCCGUUGUGAUUUAUAGGAUAGCACUUGAUAUCAACCCCCUGUGGUCACACACUUGUGCGCACACACACACUUAGGACAAUGUGACCUUGGGAGUCCAUAUCACAGCAUAUGUGUGUGUGCUUGUGUGAGGGUGGAGUUUCAGAGAGAGAGAGAGAGAGAGCAAUUCCCAUAUUGCAAUCUACUGUAUAGAACCAGUAAGAAUGAGAGAGAGAGUGAAAGAGAGAGAGAUUGGAUAAGAGAGAUCCGCUCAUAGUUGAAGAAUGGAGGAAGGCAUUAACAAGACGGAGUUUGGUGACACUUUGGAGCAACAAACACUAUCAAUGGCUUCGGAUUGAGAACGGCCAUUCAAUAGAAAAGAAAAAGAAAAUAAUGUUUUAUUAACGUGACCUUAAUAUGGAUGGAUGGAUGGAUGGAUUUCACCUGGAAGUAACAUACGGGAUACCGCACGUCGAAUUGUCCUAUCAAACUAAUGGUAUGAAAGUACUGGAAAGCAUCCUGGAGAUGAAAUGUUGCCAAUAAAAAACAAACGCAAUAGCGAAGAUGCUGGACUCCCUGGACUGAACCAGCGAGGGGAGCAUGAUGUUGCAAAACUUCGCAGAUGGGAAAGGCAGAGAGGAAUGGGGAGGGGUGGAGGAGGAGAGGUGUGGAGGACAGCAAGAGGAGGGAGUAAAGGAGCCGGAGAGGUAGAGAGUAAGAGAGUCUCUGCAUUUCAAGUGCUUAACAGUGACCUUAGAAUCUCCCUCUAUGUGUUUCGCUCUCAGUCUGUCUCUCUUUCGCACUCACUCUGCAUUAAAGUACAAAGCUGCGUUUCUUCAGACCUUUAGUGUCCCAGGAACAACUACAAGAAUGUCUGCAGGAGGAUGCAGCCCUCCCUACCUCUGUUUCUCUCUUCCUCCCUCUUUUUCUACAACUUUAUGAUGCGUGGAAGAUGAACAGUGACUCUGAGGCCUGAGUGCGGAGGAGAAGUUUGGACUUGUGGGCAGGACAAAUUCCACUUUAAAAUUUAAGAGCAAAGACUUCUCGUUUGAUGGUUCAUAACCGGGAAUGGGUCAUCUUCAUGUGUUUUCCCCAGAGGAAAGAAAGCCAAAUGGGUUUUGAACAGCAUGAGGCUCCUGGUUCUUAUGUCUACGAAUACACUUCACCACUACCAUGGACAGAAUGAGCAAAGCAAGAAUGCCCCCCACAGAUGCCCCGAUGGCGACAGCAAUGGUCGAAUCCCUUGGUGGUGGCACUGGGCAGAGGAAGGCAGAA